rnacentral:snoRNA from 1 species
UACCCCCUUCCCCAUCAGAUCUAAACACUGGUCUGAGUGGUUACACAAGGAGGGAAAAUAACCCGAAACUGACUCCAAUGCUUUUGUGGCCCGUGGGGGUAGUUUCAAACAAAC